UCACGGGAUGACCUGGAAGAGCUAUACAUUGACGUUGUUAUCGUUCCAUCAUAAAGAGCCUUGUUGGCGCAAU
rnacentral:tRNA from 1 species